CUCCUAAAGAGUAACGGAGGAGCACGAAGGUUGGCUAAUCCUGGUCGGACAUCAGGAGGUUAGUGCAAUGGCAUAAGCCAGCUUGACUGCGAGCGUGACGGCGCGAGCAGGUGCGAAAGCAGGUCAUAGUGAUCCGGUGGUUCUGAAUGGAAGGGCCAUCGCUCAACGGAUAAAAGGUACUCCGGGGAUAACAGGCUGAUACCGCCCAAGAGUUCAUAUCGACGGCGGUGUUUGGCACCUCGAUGUCGGCUCAUCACAUCCUGGGGCUGAAGUAGGUCCCAAGGGUAUGGCUGUUCGCCAUUUAAAGUGGUACGCGAGCUGGGUUUAGAACGUCGUGAGACAGUUCGGUCCCUAUCUGCCGUGGGCGCUGGAGAACUGAGGGGGGCUGCUCCUAGUACGAGAGGACCGGAGUGGACGCAUCACUGGUGUUCGGGUUGUCAUGCCAAUGGCACUGCCCGGUAGCUAAAUGCGGAAGAGAUAAGUGCUGAAAGCAUCUAAGCACGAAACUUGCCCCGAGAUGAGUUCUCCCUGAGACUUAGAGUCUCCUGAAGGAACGUUGAAGACGACGACGUUGAUAGGCCGGGUGUGUAAGCGCAGCGAUGCGUUGAGCUAACCGGUACUAAUGAACCGUGAGGCUUAACCUUACAACGCCGAAG
rnacentral:rRNA from 1 species